rnacentral:misc_RNA from 1 species
GUAGGUGAACCUGCGGAAGGAUCAUUAAAUAAUUUAGAUGGCCUCCUAGAACUUGUUCUAGUUAGGUUCAUUCUUUUUUACUGUGAACUGUUUUAAUUUUCAGCAUUUGAGGAAUGUCUUUUAGUCAUAGGGAUAGACUAUUAGAAUGUUAACCGAGCUGAAGUCAGGUUUAGACCUGGUAUCCUAUUAAUUAUUUACCAAAAGAAUUCAGUAUUAUUAUUGUAACAUAAGCGUAAAAAACUUAUAAAACAACUUUUAACAACGGAUCUCUUGGUUCUC